rnacentral:rRNA from 1 species
AUUGAACGCUGGCGGCAUGCCUUACACAUGCAAGUCGAACGGCAGCGGACCUUCGGGUGCCGGCGAGUGGCGAACGGGUGAGUAAAGUAUCGGAACGUGGCUUUCCGUGGGGGAUAACGUAGCGAAAGGUACGCUAAUAACGCAUAUUCUGUGAGGAGGAAAGCAGGGGGCCUUCGGGCCUUGCGCUGAACGCGAGGGGGAUAUCAGAUUAGAUAGUUGGGGAGGUAAGGGCUCGCCCAGGCGACGAUCUGUAGCGGGUCUGAGAGGAUGAUCCGCCACACUGGAACUGAGACACGGUCCAGACUCCUACGGGAGGCAGCAGUGGGGAAUUUUGGACAAUGGGGGCAACCCUGAUCCAGCCAUGCCGCGUGAGGGAAGAAGGCCUUCGGGUUGUAAAGCUCUUUCGGCCGGGAAGAAAUCGCAUAGGUUAAUACCCUGUGUGGAUGACGGUACCGGAAUAAGAAGCACCGGCUAACUACGUGCCAGCCGCCGCGGUAAGAC